CUCGACCGUAGCUGCUACCUCUACGUGGUGGUCGGGCUUGCUUAUCAUGAUGACCCAACCAAGCUAUACUGGCUGGAACAUAUGUUGCUGUAGGUUCUACCAUGCCAGGCAUUUCGAUUAAAGAACGGUAAGACUAAAAGCAGC
rnacentral:ribozyme from 1 species